UACGUAGGGUCCGAGCGUUGUCCGGAAUUAUUGGGCGUAAAGAGCUCGUAGGCGGUUCGUCGCGUCUGCUGUGAAAUCCCGAGGCUCAACCUCGGGCCUGCAGUGGGUACGGGCAGACUGGAGUGCGGUAGGGGAGAAUGGAAUUCCUGGUGUAGCGGUGGAAUGCGCAGAUAUCAGGAGGAACACCGAUGGCGAAGGCAGUUCUCUGGGCCGUAACUGACGCUGAGGAGCGAAAGCGUGGGGAGCGAACAGG
rnacentral:rRNA from 1 species